AUUAUUACGAGUUUGAUCCUGGCUCCGGAAGAACGCAAGAGAUGUGCUUAACACAUGCUAAUUGAAUGGUAUUAAUAUAUCAUAGUGUAAUAGUGAGUAAUGUAUGAGAAUUUAUUUUUAGAAUAUAAUAAAAAUUUAAUAAUUUAUAAUAAACGCAAUAGUGUUUUAAAAGAUAAUUAUUGUCUAAAAAAAAGCUCAUAUCUAAUUAGCUAGUUGGUGAAGUAAUAGUUUUACCAAGGCGAAGAUUAGUAGCUGCCUUGAGAGGGGAAACAGCCACAUAGAGAUUGAAAUACAGCUCUAACUCCUAAGGGGGGCAGCAGUGGGGAAUUUUCUGCAAUAAGCGCAAGCUUGACAGAGCGUCAUCACAUGAAGGAGGAAGGCCUAUAAAGGUUGUAAACUUCUUUUGCUUAAAAAAAUAAUACUGACGUUUAAGUUUAAAAAGUAUCGGCUAACUCCGUGCCAGCAGCCGCGGUAAUACGGGGGAUACAAGCGUUUUCCAAAAUUACUGGGCGUAAAGUGUAUGUAGGUGGAUUGGUAUGUUCUUCCUUAAAUACUAUUUGAUAAAUUUAGAAAAAGGAAGAAAACUAUUAAUCUUGAGUUCGAUAAGGGUAAGAGGAAUUUUUUGAGGAGUAGUGAAAUGCGAAGAUACAAAAAAGAAGAUCAACAGCGAAAGCAUCUUACUGGGUCGAUACUGACACUGAGAUACGAAAGUUAAGGUAGCAAAUGGGAUUAGAUACCCCAGUAGUCUUAACUGUAAACAAUGGAUACUCGGUACUGGAGACAUUAAAUAUAUAAAUUCAGUACCCUAGCUAACGCGUUAAGUAUUCCGCCUGAGUAGUACGCUCGCAAGGGUGAAACUCAAAGGAAUUGACGGGGGCUCGUACAAGCGGUGGAGCAUGUAAUUUAAUUCGAUGUAACGCGAUAAACCUUACCAGAACUAGACUAAAUUUAUUUUAAAUUAUUAAUAUUAAUUAAUAAAAAAUUUACAGGAGGUGCAUGGCUGUCGUCAGCUCGUGUCGUGAGAUGUUGGGUUAAGUCCCGCUACGAGCGCUACCCUUAUUUAAAGUUUUUUAUAUCUUUAAAAACAGACUAUAUAAAUUUUUGUACUAAAUUAGUAGGAAGGAGAGGAAAACGUCAAGUCUUUAUGCCCUUUAUGUUCUGGGCUACAUACGUGCUACAAUAGAUGGUACAAUAAUUUUUAAAAAUAAAUACAAUAUCAAUUUAUUUUUAAUUUAUUUGUGAAAAUAAAUGUAAUAAUUGAAAACCAUUUUUAGUUCGGAACAUAAACUGCAAUUUGUUUAUGUAAAGUUGGAAUCGCUAGUAAUCGCCGGUCAGCAUUACGGCGGUGAAUAAGUCUUCGAGCCUUGUACACACCGCCCGUCACGCCACGGAAAUUGAUUAUUUUUUAAAACUUUUGAUAAAAGGAUAAAUAAUAAUAAAUAACUGGGGUGAAGUCGUAACAAGGUAGCUGUACUGGAAGGUGCUGCUGGAUAAUUUACUAA
rfam:Toxoplasma gondii VEG unlocalized apicoplast scaffold scaffold00502, whole genome shotgun sequence.